rnacentral:rRNA from 1 species
GUUAGGGCGGUUACCACGUGUUACUCACCCGUCCGCCACUCGUUCAAAAUUAAAUCAAGAUGCAAGCACCUUUCAAUAAUCAGAACUCGUUCGACUUGCAUGUAUUAGGCACGCCGCCAGCGUUCAUCCUGAGCCAUGAUCAAACUCUC